CCACGCCCCGAGUCGGAAGUGACGGAGCCGAGCUAGCUCGACGAGGCCGCCUCUAUGGUCUUCCUCUCCUUCUGGAGUCGGUAAAUGGCCGCUGUGUAGUUACCACGGAGAACCCUGCGCGCACAUCGUGCUUCGGCGUGUCAGGUAUUUGAAUUUAGAGUUUAGUUUCCCAUAACAUUUUCUACAAGAAGAAUCUUGGCAGUAUCUCAAAGACAUCUGACUUCUGGAUCCUGCAUAAAGCCCAAGGAGAAAAGAAAUGGGCCGCUCCAAUUCUAGAUCACAUUCUUCAAGAUCCAAGUCUAGAUCACAGUCUAGUUCUAGAUCAAGAUCAAGAUCACAUUCUAGAAAGAAGAGAUACAGUUCUAGGUCUCGUUCCAGAACAUAUUCGAGGUCUCGUAGUAGAGAUCGUAUUUAUUCUAGAGAUUAUCGUCGAGAUUACAGGAAUAAUAGAGGAAUGAGACGACCUUAUGGGUACAGAGGAAGGGGUAGAGGGUAUUAUCAAGGAGGAGGAGGGAGAUACCAUCGAGGUGGCUAUAGACCUGUCUGGAAUAGAAGGCACUCUAGGAGUCCUAGACGAGGUCGGUCACGGUCCAGGAGUCCAAAAAGAAGAUCCGUGUCUUCUCAAAGAUCCCGAAGCAGAUCUCGCCGGUCUUAUAGAUCUUCUAGGUCUCCAAGAUCAUCAUCAUCUCGCUCUUCAUCCCCAUAUAGCAAAUCUCCUGUCUCUAAAAGACGAGGGUCUCAGGAAAAACAAACCAAAAAAGCUGAGGGGGAACCCCAAGAAGAGAGUCCUUUGAAAAGCAAAUCACAGGAGGAACCAAAGGAUACUUUUGAACACGAUCCAUCUGAAUCUAUUGAUGAGUUUAAUAAAUCUGCUACUUCUGGUGAUAUUUGGCCUGGCCUUUCAGCUUAUGAUAAUAGUCCAAGGUCACCUCAUAGUCCUUCACCUAUUGCUACACCACCCAGUCAGAGUUCAUCAUGCUCAGAUGCCCCCAUGCUUAGUACAGUCCACUCUGCCAAAAAUACCCCUUCUCAGCAUUCACAUUCCAUUCAGCACAGUCCUGAGAGGUCUGGAUCAGGUUCUGUUGGAAAUGGGUCUAGUCGAUAUAGUCCUUCUCAGAACAGUCCAAUUCAUCACAUCCCAUCCCGAAGAAGCCCUGCAAAGACAGUCACACCACAGACUGCUCCAAGAGAGGAAUCUAGGGGGCGGUCCUCUUUUUAUCCUGAAGGAGAUCAGGAAACAGCAAAGACAGGAAAGUUUUUAAAAAGGUUCACAGAUGAAGAGUCUAGAGUAUUCCUGCUUGAUAGGGGUAAUAUCAGGGAUAAAGAGGCUCCGAAGGAGAAAGGGUCAGAGAAAGGCAGGGCAGAUGGAGAUUGGGAUGACCAGGAAGUUCUAGAUUACUUUAGUGAUAAAGAGUCUGCAAAACAAAAAUUCCAUGACUCUGAAGGGGAUGACACAGAGGAGACAGAGGAUUAUAGACAGUUUAGGAAAUCAGUCCUAGCAGAUCAGGGGAAGAGCUUUGCUGCAUCUCACCGGAAUACUGAGGAGGAAGGACCCAAGUACAAGUCCAAAGUUUCAUUAAAAGGCAAUAGAGAAAGUGAUGGAUUUAGAGAAGAAAAAACUUAUAAACUGAAAGAGACUGCAUAUAUAGUCGAAAGGCCCAGCACUGCAAAAGACAAGCACAAGGAAGAAGACAAAGGCUCAGACAGAAUAACAGUGAAGAAAGAAGUGCAGUCACCGGAGCAGGUAAAGUCUGAAAAGCUCAAAGAGCUCUUUGAUUACAGUCCCCCUCUACACAAGAGUCUGGACGCACGAGAAAAGUCCAUCUUCAGAGAGGAGAGCCCACUGAGGAUCAAAAUGAUAGCCAGUGAUUCUCACCGUCCUGAAGUCAAACUCAAAAUGGCACCUGUUCCACUUGACGAUUCCAACAGACCUGCCUCCUUGACUAAAGACAGGCUACUUGCUAGCACGCUAGUCCAUUCGGUCAAGAAAGAGCAAGAAUUCCGAUCCAUCUUUGACCACAUUAAGCUGCCUCAGGCCAGCAAAAGCACUUCAGAGUCAUUUAUACAACACAUUGUAUCCUUGGUUCAUCAUGUGAAAGAGCAAUACUUCAAAUCACCUGCAGUGACCCUAAACGAGCGGUUCACUUCCUACCAGAAAGCUACUGAAGAGCAUAGUACCCGGCAGAAGAGCCCCGAGAUACACAGGAGGAUUGACAUCUCUCCCAGCGCUCUGAGGAAGCACACCCGGCUAGCAGGAGAGGAGAGAGGUUUUAAAGAAGAAAUGCAGAAGGGAGAUAAAAAGCUAAGGUGUGAUUCGGCUGACCUUCGGCAUGACAUUGACCGUCGCCGUAAAGAGAGAAGUAAAGAGCGGGGAGAUUCCAAGGGCUCCAGGGAGUCCAGUGGGUCCAGAAAGCAAGAAAAAACACCAAAGGAUUACAAGGAGUAUAAACCUUACAAAGAUGACAGCAAAAAUGUAUUUGUCUUUUACACGGCUUAUGGUGGAUGAGGACAAAAACUUUGGAAUAGCAAGCUAACACUGAAAAAAAAAAUGACAAAUUAAUGUGUCCUAUUAUCCAGGCUACAUCAGGAGGUUGGACUUCAAUGCAGUGCAUUUCUAGAAACAGUUUGUCAAACAUAAAGGUAGAGAGCGGGACCAUUCCCGGUCAUCGUCCUCGUCAGCAUCGCCGUCCUCCCCCAGUUCUCGAGAAGAAAAAGAGAGUAAGAAAGAGAGAGAAGAAGAAUUUAAAACUCACCAUGAGAUGAAAGACUACUCAGGAUUUGCAGGAGUUAGCAGACCACGAGGAACCUUUUUUCGAAUUAGAGGCAGAGGAAGAGCCAGAGGAGUUUUUGCUGGGACAAAUACUGGUCCAAACAACUCAAAUACCACUUUUCAAAAGAGACCGAAGGAAGAGGAAUGGGAUCCAGAAUAUACCCCAAAGAGCAAGAAGUACUUCUUGCAUGAUGACAGAGAUGAUGGUGUGGAUUACUGGGCCAAAAGAGGAAGAGGUCGUGGUACUUUUCAACGUGGCAGAGGGCGCUUUAAUUUCAAAAAAUCAGGUAGCAGUCCAAAAUGGACUCAUGACAAAUACCAAGGAGAUGGGAUUGUUGAAGAUGAAGAAGAGACCAUGGAAAAUAAUGAAGAGAAGAAGGACAGACGCAAAGAAGAAAAGGAAUAGUCUCAAGAUUGCAACAGGGAGCAGAACUUGACACUUACAUUUUUUUUAAACCUGAUUUUUGUUUUCAAAUAAAAAUGUAAGCAUUUUACUUAAACUGUACUGUUUGCAAGUAGUCUAUAGAAAUUUUGUUUUAAGUCUUCAAAUACCUUGAAAAAAAAUAGUAGACUGUAUGUUGAAAAUUGUAUUGAAAUAAAGUAGAAAAUGUUCGGUAUCAUAUUUGUAACUAUCAACUUUUAAAAACAUUUGACUGUUUUUGUUACAUGCAUUGUAUUUCUGCUUUGUCUAUAAGAAGUGGUCAAGUCCAACUCUGUGACAACUCUUAACUUGCCUCCCUGUUAAUAAGUCUUUGAUUCUGAAGUGAAGGUUAGCUCUUCUCAAAUCCACACAAAUCCUUGAACAGGAAUUGUUUAUAGUGACCACACUAAUUAUUUUAACUACACAUCAGUUUAACAUCUUUUAAAAUUUGAACACUACUUAGUAGGGUGACUAAUUUUUGAAGAAUAUCACAAAGAUGCUAUUAUGGUAAACCAGUUUCACACUUCAGCAAAUAUAUAAGGAGGACAGCUUUGUUAAUAGCUAAAAAGUACAAAUUAAAAGAUUUGAGAAAGUGGUAUUUUUUUCUGAAAGUAAACAAUGGCUUGUAAAAUCAUUUGAAGAGACUUUCCAAUAUGAAUUCAAAAUUCCAUUCUUAUCUGAUAGUUUGAGUCAUGGUCUUAGAUACCAGCUACCUACGAGAGAGAGAGAAAUUGGUUUGUAAUAUCAGUGUAAGUAAAAUCCUGAUUCUAUAAACCUGAUUGUAUUUAAAACAAAAAACAAAACUACAAUGAAACUUGGGAGUCCUUUUCAUGUAGAGGAAGAUUAUCCUGCAGCGUAGUGUGUGCACACAGUCAUCUAGUACCUGAUUGGAUAGCUUACAUAUUUAUUGGAUGCUUUGAGCAGCUGUAGAUUAGUCCAUAAUAUAACCACAAGAUUAGAUAGAGGCAGCAUACUGUUAAGUCAUAUUUAAGUAAUUAGUUUUCUCUUAUUGUUGCCAAUAGAAGACUUGAGCAGGAAGCUUGUAGCACUGAUCUAAUUGUGUCAUCCAUCAACUUAAAUUUAUAAAAUGGCCUUUUUCUUGGCAUCUAUUCUUUAGGUAAAUAUGGUUUUUUGCUAUUUGUUUAAUAGCUUUUAAAGGAAUAAAAGUAAACUUCAGUGCUAAGAAUUAAUUUUUUAAAAAAAAUAAAAGCUAGCUACAUUGCAGCAGAUUGGUUGUGUAUGUGUGCAUUUAAAGAAGAUAAUGCCUAUUCUGUUAAUGCCCACUUGUAAGUUUUGAUAAUUUUACAGUGUUUUAGACCUUGAAUAGCUAGUGGCUUUUGCUAAAAACUUUUGGCAACAAAAUUAAACUAAAACCAAAGUCAACAUGUGAAGUGUUUAUCAUAAGAUCCUCAGGAGUCAGUAUUGCAUGAUGCUCCCCUUAAUUGUCAUACUGAAAUUAUGUAGUAAAUCAGAAAAUCAACUUUAUUGCUUCAAUCUGGAUAUAAGUAGUUAUUUAUAAAUAAUAGUUAAGAUUAAUUUAAAUGUAAAAACAUGUGCUUAAUUCCCUAAUACUUUUCAUACCAUUUCUAUUUUAUAUGAAUAUACACCUUUCAUUUCAACAGUCAUUUGGUUAUACACUGAAUCUUUACGUUUGUACUGUUUAGCUUUACUUUGUCCACAACAGAGAAAAGCAGAUUGGUUGAACCUUAUUUAAUGAGGAGUAACAGGGUGUUUUUAAGUGUUGUACCUGUGGUUACUUCCGUUCUAUAGCUCAAGAAUAUGCCAUUACAUCAUAGUCAAGGGGUUGCUAUGGGAACUGCAGUAGAGAAUACCACUGUGAGUCUUCUUUUCAGAGCCAGAGUAGCCUGUGUGCUUUCCUUGAGAUGAGCAUUUAAUUACACACUUGAUGACACAUUACAAAGCUAAACCAUACCUCUCAGUAAAGCUGCUUGAUUACAAGUGCCAGGAAAAUGACUGUUAUCCACUGCGUACUACAUGUUACAUGCUGCAUAAUGUAUGUUACACACUGCAUACUAUGUGUUAUACACUGCAUACACAUACUUCCUUUACGCAGAGAAAAGAAAUAAAAUUGAACCAAAGGAUUUUCCCAGAAAAAAACAAGAAAGCAGUUUUAGAAGGCCAUGACUCAAUUUUUAGGUUUGUAUGCUUAAACAUCUUAGGAAUUUUAAUAUAAAAAGAAAAGUCCCAUUUGCACUCUAUUUCAAAGAAUUGUUAUUGUUCCCUUUCGUUAAAAUCAGUGUUGGGAAUUAAAUUAUAAUUUGAGGGGAAAAUAUUAUCCAACGGGAAUGAAUGUAGAUGGCUAAAGGAUUCUUCCUCAGUGUGGUGUAUAUUUCAACAGGGACCCUUGUAAAUUGUCAUAUGCCAAUAAAAUGUCCUAAGUGGUAAUAGCUGGUCUCUGUUUACCUGACUUUGAGACUAUUGCUGCUUGAACUCUACCCAGCUGAUUUCUAUGGCCUGUUUCUAGAAUUUGGAAUACCAACUUGUAUAAAUUUGAUACGUGGUUUGAUAAAUGUUUUUGAUUCUUUAAAA